UUGCCCAAUGAUUAUAGCAAGACGCGUUAUUACGAGGACUAAUGCUGGACCUCUGCUUCUUAUCUCCUCCUCUUUUUUCUUCUUUGUCACUUCUCCACUUUCACUUUAACCCUCAUUAUCCUUGGGUGUCCAGCGUCCUGUGAGCAAGAUUAUGAGAUAUGAGGGCAA